CUGUUGUGGAUCACUAUCGGAUACAAAAGCCCACUUAUUAUAAUUGUUCCCAAAAGGCCCACCAAAGUUACUCUUUAAAACCCUAGCUAGCUCUUGGAUUUGGAAAUUGAGGUUGAAACCUAUUUCUCAAGCUGCUUGCGUUCCUUGUUUUAUCAUUCUCUCUGUAAAUUGAAACACAGAAAGGGACAGUGACGAUUUUGAUUGAAAGGUCUCGUUCGUCGUAAUAGCCCUAAUCGGGCCUUGCCGACCAAUCUGAUAUAUCACCACCCAUAUUCUGAGCCCCUUUUCUGUUUGAAUCAAUUUUCUUUCUUUUUCGGUUAAUGGCUGUCAGUUUUCACGAAAAAUGAAUGUUUUUGUUUUGCUUAGGUUUGUCUCUGAUGUUGGAUGUGCUGAUCAGAGGUUUGUUUUGUAUGUUUUGGCCAAUGAUUAAAUGAUUGAAUAUAGACAAGCAUAUGUCUGAACUUAUUCAAUGUUGAUUCAUCUAAUCUUCUCUAUGAGGCCACCAUUUCUACUUUUGAAACCCUAAUUGUGAAUCUUUAUAUGAACUUUUGAAGUUCAUUAUCCAUUGAGUUUUUUUAAAUGUAUAUUGUGUUUUUCUUCUAAUUAUUCUUUCAUGAACCGAUUUUUUCUUCUGAUAAAUUUUUCACUUUUGAUUAUUACUUUUCAUUGAUUUUUCCUAGAGGUUAAUCAUUCACAGAAAUGAAUGAGAGAAUAUGUAAAAGAAAAUGACAUUCUUGAAAUUUUAUUUUUCUCGACUUGUAGCAAAUUCUUGAGUACCCAUUUCAAAUAAAUUUUAUACACUGUUUAGAAAAAAGUAUUUUUUUUCUGAUUUAUUUAUUCCAUCUUUAUUUUUGAUAAAAAAAAUCAGAAAAUAACAUAAAAUAAAACAUAUGAUUAGAAUGACAAUAUAAGAAAAAAGAUGAUAAGAAUGACAAUAUAAGAAAAAAUGAUAAGAAUGACAAUAUAAGAAAAAAAGAU